GAUGAACGCUAGCUACAGGCUUAACGCAUGCAAGUCGAGGGGAAACGACAUCGAAAGCUUGCUUUUGAUGGGCGUCGACCGGCGCACGGGUGAGUAACGCGUAUCCAACCUGCCCACCACUUGGGGAUAACCUUGCGAAAGUAAGACUAAUACCCAAUGACGUCUCUAGAAGACAUCAGAAAGAGAUUAAAGAUUUAUCGGUGAUGGAUGGGGAUGCGUCUGAUUAGCUUGGUGGCCGGGUAACGGCCCACCAAGGCGACGAUCAGUAGGGGUUCUGAGAGGAAGGUCCCCCACAUUGGAACUGAGACACGGUCCAAACUCCUACGGGAGGCAGCAGUGAGGAAUAUUGGUCAAUGGGCGAGAGCCUGAACCAGCCAAGUAGCGUGCAGGAUGACGGCCCUAUGGGUUGUAAACUGCUUUUAUAAGGGAAUAAAGUGAGUCUCGUGAGACUUUUUGCAUGUACCUUAUGAAUAAGGACCGGCUAAUUCCGUGCCAGCCGCCGCCGUAA
rnacentral:rRNA from 1 species